GCGUGUCAAUCUAUUUUUACAUUACAUGGUAGAGAUUUUUAGUGCACAACACAACCAAAGUUGGAGGUAAGUCUAGGGAUUGCUAGAUAGGGUUUGACCUCUAGGCUUGCCUCCUGGUAGAUUCCUGAAAUUUUGAAAAUACAACAUGUGUACAAUUAAGCAAGUUCAGCUCAACUAUUGGAGAUUUAUUGGUUCUGCAAUAGUAGUUUGCAACAUGCACAAUGGAAGAGGCUAAGAGGGUACAUGAGCUACAAGAGAGGAAUGAAAUAUUAUCUGUGUCCCAAAUAAAGUCAAGGAUUCUUGUGCUCGUCAAAAUUUUCGGAAUCUCUGUAAUUAAUGCCGGAGACGCAACGACGACCAAUUUCAUAACUUUGGGAAAAACGUUACAGUACAGAGCAGCAGAGUGAUUUUUCUGGUUGGAGAUCGCGGCAACAUACGACAGUCACCCGGAGAUAAAAAGAUCCCACCAACUAAGGGAGUCCAACUACGACUGCAUUACCUGACAAAUGCCUUCGGUCCAUCAAUCUGUCAGGGCUUCAAAAGGCAUAAAAUUCCCUGAAUCUCUUGAUGUGUCGAAUUGCCAGUACGAGGCACGAACAAUCUCUGACGGAGAGAUUGUUUAUACCCCCAUUCGAUUCGAGGCUUGCAUGCAGAGCAGGACGCACGGCAACACGAUGGCUGCCAAGCAAAGCACACGCUUCAGUUUCAGAGGAGCCCAAACGAAAAAUCUCAUUAAUUGCACACGAGUUGCUGCGGCUGUCAGGCAUUCACCUGAUCACGGAUCGCAAGAACUUGGUGGGUUUCGACAAAGCACAGUCCUAAUCAUAAACUCCUGAUGUUUUUAUCGCGAAAUCAGUAUUAGUGGACGCUUUUGCUGGAUGGUGCAGUGAAGACUAUCUAAAGACCUGAAGCUAUCGACGGGGAUGUGUGCAUUUGAAGAAGGGGACUGUCACUCACUCCAGUCUCCAGCCAUUUGUUUUGCAAAUGGAAAGAAAGAAUAGGUCGGCAUCAUACCUUCCAUUUUGCCCUAGUUGAUGGAGCAAAUAGCGUGUUUUUGCUCGAUCGAUUCCAUCAUUAACAUCAGCCGAUGUAUAUUUCCAAAAGAAAGUGUUGUUUAGUACAUCUAGAGAUGCAUGAUGCAUCCCCCUUUGUAUGUAGUAUGUAUCUACCUCUCUCCGGUGAAGAUGUUACUGGUAGGGCCUGCUUGAUUAUCUAAUUGUUCAUAUCACUUGAGAGUAUCACCAUCAGAUCAUGUGCUAC